rnacentral:lncRNA from 1 species
AACAAAUUCCUAUAGGGAGAAGGUUAGAAAAUAUUUUGGUUGCCAAUUCCUACAAAAUUUAGUCAUUCAGUUCAACAACUUCGACGUGGGAGGUGGUUAAUUUCAUGUAUUUUGUUCGCUUUUACGGUGCCACGCGACGGUUAGCGCCAUUUUUAUGGGAUGUCAACGGAUAUUUAAAAUGUCAGGAAACGAAUAAAGUAGCUUCCGCUUGAGCUUCACAAAUGGCCGAUCACGCGAUUCGCGAUAAACGAUCCAUUCAAGAAACCGCGGAAGUGAGGGCAGCUAUCGUGGAAUAAAAUCCGGUGCCGUCAACUCGCUAUGCAAAUUUGGUGUGCCCGAAGUUGAUGCAUUCGCUGCUGCCAAAUGUUUGGAACAACAAGCCAGUGCUGGCCGGAUGAAUUGCUAACGUGGCCGACUGUUGGUUUGGUGCUAAGAAGAUUGGCUUCUCAUCGACGGAUGUUCCAUAGCUGUGCACGAGUAGUAUUCAUCUGCAACGUAGAUAUCGUCGUUUGAUAUAGCGACCUAUUCACCCACACAGCAAUUGCACAAGCAAUUUUAACCAGGUCGUUUGCUAGGUACGCCCAUAUCCGGCGGAGGAACAACGGCGAGCCAAAGUAAAGUCUCUGGUGUUCACUACUGACAGGCACGAACAGCGAAGACUGAAUGGAAUGUUUGGCGAGCGAAUCUCGUGACCCGUAACCACCUCGAUUCAAUCCUGAAUAUCCGUACGUGUUGAAUCCUGCCCCCGGAAGUAGAGUCGGCUCUACCCUGGAUCGAGAUAUUGGGGGCGAAAAAAGGUCUUUGUCGACUUGAUCUUGCUGAGCUAAGAAAAGGGGCUCUUCGAUCCAGUGUUGUCGACGGCGACGACAUGGGGGGAUAGGCACGCCUCCUACCGUGUUCAACGAGAAACAUACCGUGUUUGUCGAUAUCGUCGUCGUCGUUGUCGUCGUUUCAGUUGUCAUCCUAACGACCUAUUUCAGACGGAAACAGUCGUGAACUUGAGACUGAAACGGCAAAAUCGUUUCUACGGGACCUCGCACUCUGCUUGAAAAUUGCGCAAUCCAUCACCGGCAUCGAGACAUGUACCUGAACGUAGAUACUGUGGGAUUCCACGCAGAUCAACCGCCAAUGGGAGGCUGUCAACCAUAUUGUUCCAUCAUCGUCACCUGCUUUGCGGGAAACCGUAAUCAAC